rnacentral:tRNA from 1 species
GCGGCGGUGGUGUAAUGGCGUAGAGCAUUCCCGCCCGGUCAGAGGGAGGUGCGGGUUCGAGUCCCGCUUGGCGCU